GUCUUCGUGGCUCAGUUGGUUAGAGCGUUGGUCUCAUAAAGUCCAUAUGACUCGAUCUUCCAAGGUCGGGACAUCCAAAGGUCGUGAGUUCGAGUCUCACCGAGGACA